rnacentral:rRNA from 1 species
AAUUAGGAUACCUGUAGGAAUUCUAGAGCUAAUACAUGCAAAAAGACUGAUCGGGGGCAACUCGAGAUGGUCGCGUAUACUAGAUGAGGAACCAAUUUGGGGGGGCAACUCCCAACAGUAGGACGAUACAUAGUAUCAAAGCGAAUCGGGGGUGAAGACCCUCGAUGAUGCGAACGAGUUUCUGCCCUAUCAGCUUUCAAUCGUAGUGUAGUGGACUACGAUGGCGAUAACGGGUACGGGGAAUUAGGGUUCGAUUCCGGAGAGGGAGCCUGAGAAACGGCUCCCACUUCCAAGGAAGGCAGCAGGCGCGUAAAUUAUCCAAUCCCGAUACGGGGGAGAUAGUGACAAGAAAAUAUUGAUGUAGGGCCUUUUAGGUCUUACGAUCGAAAAUGAGAACAAUUUAAAAAAACUUAGCGAAACAAUUGGAGGGCAAGUCUGGUGCCAGCAGCCGCGGU